rnacentral:rRNA from 1 species
UGAGAUGUUGGGUUAAAGUCCCGUAACGAGCGCAACCCUUGUCCUUAGUUACCAGCACGUAAUGGUGGGCACUCUAAGGAGACUGCCGGUGACAAACCGGAGGAAGGUGGGGAUGACGUCAAGUCAUCAUGGCCCUUACGGCCUGGGCUACACACGUGCUACAAUGGUCGGUACAGAGGGUUGCCAAGCCGCGAGGUGGAGCUAAUCCCAGAAAACCGAUCGUAGUCCGGAUCGCAGUCUGCAACUCG